rnacentral:rRNA from 1 species
GGUUAAGUUAGAAAGGGCGCACGGUGGAUGCCUUGACACUAGGAGUCGAUGAAGGACGGGACUAACGCCGAUAUGCUUCGGGGAGCUGUAAGUAAGCUUUGAUCCGAAGAUUUCCGAAUGGGGAAACCCACCAUACGUAAUGGUAUGGUAUCCUUAUCUGAAUACAUAGGGUAAGGAAGACAGACCCAGGGAACUGAAACAUCUAAGUACCUGGAGGAAGAGAAAGCAAAUGCGAUUUCCUGAGUAGCGGCGAGCGAAACGGAACAUAGCCCAAACCAAGAGGCUUGCCUCUUGGGGUUGUAGGACAUUCUAUACGGAGUUACAAAGGAACGAGGUAGACGAAGCGACCUGGAAAGGUCCGUCGUAGAGGGUAACAACCCCGUAGUCGAAACUUCGUUCUCUCUUGAAUGUAUCCUGAGUACGGCGGAACACGUGAAAUUCCGUCGGAAUCUGGGAGGACCAUCUCCCAAGGCUAAAUACUCCCUAGUGAUCGAUAGUGAACCAGUACCGUGAGGGAAAGGUGAAAAGCACCCCGGAAGGGGAGUGAAAGAGAUCCUGAAACCGUGUGCCUACAAAUAGUCAGAGCCCGUUAACGGGUGAUGGCGUGCCUUUUGUAGAAUGAACCGGCGAGUUACGAUCCCGUGCGAGGUUAAGCUGAAGAGGCGGAGCCGCAGCGAAAGCGAGUCUGAAUAGGGCGUUUAGUACGUGGUCGUAGACCCGAAACCAGGUGAUCUACCCAUGUCCAGGGUGAAGUUCAGGUAACACUGAAUGGAGGCCCGAACCCACGCACGUUGAAAAGUGCGGGGAUGAGGUGUGGGUAGCGGAGAAAUUCCAAUCGAACCUGGAGAUAGCUGGUUCUCCCCGAAAUAGCUUUAGGGCUAGCCUUAAGUGUAAGAGUCUUGGAGGUAGAGCACUGAUUGGACUAGGGGUCCUCAUCGGAUUACCGAAUUCAGUCAAACUCCGAAUGCCAAUGACUUAUCCUUAGGAGUCAGACUGCGAGUGAUAAGAUCCGUAGUCAAAAGGGAAACAGCCCAGACCGCCAGCUAAGGUCCCAAAGUGUGUAUUAAGUGGAAAAGGAUGUGGAGUUGCUUAGACAACUAGGAUGUUGGCUUAGAAGCAGCCACCAUUUAAAGAGUGCGUAAUAGCUCACUAGUCGAGUGACUCUGCGCCGAAAAUGUACCGGGGCUAAAUACACCACCGAAGCUGCGGACUGAUACCGAAUGGUAUCAGUGGUAGGGGAGCGUUCUAAGGACAGUGAAGUCAGACCGGAAGGACUGGUGGAGUGCUUAGAAGUGAGAAUGCCGGUAUGAGUAGCGAAAGACGGGUGAGAAUCCCGUCCACCGAAUGCCUAAGGUUUCCUGAGGAAGGCUCGUCCGCUCAGGGUUAGUCAGGACCUAAGCCGAGGCCGACAGGCGUAGGCGAUGGACAACAGGUUGAUAUUCCUGUACCACCUCUUUAUCGUUUGAGCAAUGGAGGGACGCAGAAGGAUAGAAGAAGCGUGCGAUUGGUUGUGCACGUCCAAGCAGUUAGGCUGAUAAGUAGGCAAAUCCGCUUAUCGUGAAGGCUGAGCUGUGAUGGGGAAGCUCCUUAUGGAGCGAAGUCUUUGAUUCCCCGCUGCCAAGAAAAGCUUCUAGCGAGAUAAAAGGUGCCUGUACCGCAAACCGACACAGGUAGGCGAGGAGAGAAUCCUAAGGUGUGCGAGAGAACUCUGGUUAAGGAACUCGGCAAAAUGACCCCGUAACUUCGGGAGAAGGGGUGCUUUCUUAACGGAAAGCCGCAGUGAAUAGGCCCAAGCGACUGUUUAGCAAAAACACAGCUCUCUGCGAAGCCGUAAGGCGAAGUAUAGGGGGUGACACCUGCCCGGUGCUGGAAGGUUAAGGAGAGGGGUUAGCGUAAGCGAAGCUCUGAACUGAAGCCCCAGUAAACGGCGGCCGUAACUAUAACGGUCCUAAGGUAGCGAAAUUCCUUGUCGGGUAAGUUCCGACCCGCACGAAAGGUGUAACGAUUUGGGCACUGUCUCAACCAGAGACUCGGUGAAAUUAUAGUACCUGUGAAGAUGCAGGUUACCCGCGACAGGACGGAAAGACCCCGUGGAGCUUUACUGUAGCCUGAUAUUGAAUUUUGGUACAGUUUGUACAGGAUAGGCGGGAGCCAUUGAAACCGGAGCGCUAGCUUCGGUGGAGGCGCUGGUGGGAUACCGCCCUGACUGUAUUGAAAUUCUAACCUACGGGUCUUAUCGACCCGGGAGACAGUGUCAGGUGGGCAGUUUGACUGGGGCGGUCGCCUCCUAAAGUGUAACGGAGGCGCCCAAAGGUUCCCUCAGAAUGGUUGGAAAUCAUUCGUAGAGUGCAAAGGCAUAAGGGAGCUUGACUGCGAGACCUACAAGUCGAGCAGGGACGAAAGUCGGGCUUAGUGAUCCGGUGGUUCCGCAUGGAAGGGCCAUCGCUCAACGGAUAAAAGCUACCCCGGGGAUAACAGGCUUAUCUCCCCCAAGAGUCCACAUCGACGGGGAGGUUUGGCACCUCGAUGUCGGCUCAUCGCAUCCUGGGGCUGUAGUCGGUCCCAAGGGUUGGGCUGUUCGCCCAUUAAAGCGGUACGCGAGCUGGGUUCAGAACGUCGUGAGACAGUUCGGUCCCUAUCCGUCGUGGGCGUAGGAAAUUUGAGAGGAGCUGUCCUUAGUACGAGAGGACCGGGAUGGACGCACCGCUGGUGUACCAGUUGUUCUGCCAAGGGCAUAGCUGGGUAGCUAUGUGCGGAAGGGAUAAGUGCUGAAAGCAUCUAAGCAUGAAGCCCCCCUCAAGAUGAGAUUUCCCAUAGCGUAAGCUAGUAAGAUCCCUGAAAGAUGAUCAGGUUGAUAGGUUCGAGGUGGAAGCAUGGUGACAUGUGGAGCUGACGAAUACUAAUAGAUCGAGGACUUAACCAU